AACGGCAGCACGGGAGCUUGCUCCUGGUGGCGAGUGGCGAACGGGUGAGUAAUAUAUCGGAACGUGCCCUAGAGUGGGGGAUAACUAGUCGAAAGAUUAGCUAAUACCGCAUACGAUCUACGGAUGAAAGUGGGGGAUCGCAAGACCUCAUGCUCGUGGAGCGGCCGAUAUCUGAUUAGCUAGUUGGUGAGGUAAAGGCUCACCAAGGCAUCGAUCAGUAGCUGGUCUGAGAGGACGACCAGCCACACUGGGACUGAGACACGGCCCAGACUCCUACGGGAGGCAGCAGUGGGGAAUUUUGGACAAUGGGGGCAACCCUGAUCCAGCAAUGCCGCGUGAGUGAAGAAGGCCUUCGGGUUGUAAAGCUCUUUUGUCAGGGAAGAAACGGUGAGGGCUAAUAUCCUUUGCUAAUGACGGUACCUGAAGAAUAAGCACCGGCUAACUACGUGCCAGCAGCCGCGGUAAUACGUAGGGUGCAAGCGUUAAUCGGAAUUACUGGGCGUAAAGCGUGCGCAGGCGGUUAUGCAAGACAGAUGUGAAAUCCCCGGGCUCAACCUGGGAAUUGCAUUUGUGACUGUAUGGCUA
rnacentral:rRNA from 1 species